UGGGGAAUAUUGCACAAUGGGCGCAAGCCUGAUGCAGCCAUGCCGCGUGUAUGAAGAAGGCCUUCGGGUUGUAAAGUACUUUCAGCGGGGAGGAAGGUGUUGUGGUUAAUAACCACAGCAAUUGACGUUACCCGCAGAAGAAGCACCGGCUAACUCCGUGCCAGCAGCCGCGGUAAUACGGAGGGUGCAAGCGUUAAUCGGAAUUACUGGGCGUAAAGCGCACGCAGGCGGUCUGUCAAGUCGGAUGUGAAAUCCCCGGGCUCAACCUGGGAACUGCAUCCGAAACGGGCAGGCUUGAGUCUUGUAGAGGGGGGUAGAAUUCCAGGUGUAGCGGUGAAAUGCGUAGAGAUCUGGAGGAAUACCGGUGGCGAAGGCGGCCCCCUGGACAAAGACUGACGCUCAGGUGCGAAAGCGUGGGGAGCAAACA
rnacentral:rRNA from 1 species